CCAGGAGAGGUAAUAGUACGUUGAAUGCACCAGUUCCCAAUAGAUCACUGAAAUUAAGCAACGUUUCAUAUGGUUGGUAUCCGGAUCGGUGACUCGCGUGCUGCUGGCUUUUCCCGGC
rfam:Asian citrus Psyllid, Diaphorina citri - Florida Strain, whole genome shotgun sequence.